rnacentral:rRNA from 1 species
UGUGCCCUUGAGGCGUGGCUUCCGGAGCUAACGCGUUAAAUCGACCGCCUGGGGAGUACGGCCGCAAGGUUAAAACUCAAAUGAAUUGACGGGGGCCCGCACAAGCGGUGGAGCAUGUGGUUUAAUUCGAUGCAACGCGAAGAACCUUACCUACUCUUGACAUCCAGAGAAUUCGCUAGAGAUAGCUUAGUGCCUUCGGGAACUCUGAGACAGGUGCUGCAUGGCUGUCGUCAGCUCGUGUUGUGAAAUGUUGGGUUAAGUCCCGCAACGAGCGCAACCCUUAUCCUUUGUUGCCAGCGAUUCGGUCGGGAACUCAAAGGAGACUGCCGGUGAUAAACCGGAGGAAGGUGGGGAUGACGUCAAGUCAUCAUGGCCCUUACGAGUAGGGCUACACACGUGCUACAAUGGCGUAUACAAAGAGAAGCGAACUCGCGAGAGCAAGCGGACCUCAUAAAGUACGUCGUAGUCCGGAUUGGAGUCUGCAACUCGACUCCAUGAAGUCGGAAUCGCUAGUAAUCGUAGAUCAGAAUGCUACGGUGAAUACGUUCCCGGGCCUUGCACUCACCGCCCGUCA